UCUGAAUCUGCGAACGGCUCCGCACACCAGUUGUAAACUAUAGCAAGUCUGUCAGUUGGCGAGCAAUCGUCGAUUGACUAAUAGGGAUAACCCUGGUAAUCCUGAGGCUAAUACAAGAACGUAAAACUUGGUCGACCUGGUAACGGGAAGGCUGAGGGUCGUGUAAGCUUAUUGCGACACUGACAUGAAUGGGUACACGAUCAAACCACCAUAUCAAACGAUCGGAUUGAUAAGCCUUCACGGGCGGACGGUCAGUUCGGGUGGGUCUUGCUGUGUGCUUCUGACCUAUCAACUAGAUGGCAGCGUAAAGGACAUGCUAUGGU
rnacentral:rRNA from 1 species